AUCAGGUUAUACAUUCUUCUAUAAAUAUCUACCGUUUUUUGUAAAUGUCAAUGAAGUUUUCGACGUUUAUACCCAACUUCAGUACACAUUUAAGUGGGUGGGGUAAAAUAACAAAUAUAAUGGUAAAGACUUUCAUAGUAGUUCUCAAAGACUUCAAAUACAUAUUGGUUGUUAUAAAAGAUGUCCAUUCUGGAUGUUUGAUUCCGCCAAGUUGAUGCUCAACAGGAGUAGGCAGUUGAUACCAUUGAUCUGAUAGCACCUGCUAUAUCAGUGGUUUUACAAGAUAUUUUUGUGCAAAACACAAGAGACGGAAUUGGUUCAAGAACAGAGAUAAAAUAAAUGAAGUGUGUCAAUAUGAAUGAAAACUUUCCUUGACUGCAAGGACUAAAGAAAAUGCACACAAGUGACAUCAAUUUAAAUGUUUGGUACAAAAAGUAGACAUUUAGAACUUAAAAUUAUGACACAGGAUGUGAAACAACACUUUAUAGCUGAUAACAGUCGAACAAGAGAUUUUUCAAAAAGAAGCAAGAUGUGUUUUUUUAACCCUUGGCAAAUGAACCUUUAAAGGGAUUAUUGCAUACCAAGGACAAUUUAUUGUUAUUGAAUUAUAUCAUGUUUAAUGUUAUUAUUAAAUUGUAAAAAAUACCGUUGUUAUUAAUA